UCCCUAAAUACCAUUCCAAAAAAAGAAAGUAAACCACCGGGCGGGCAACAUGGAAGGGACAAAGAAGAAAGAAGCGAGUCCGGAGCAGAUAGUGCACGAACUCUCCGGCGUUGUACCUGCCCACUAUGUCAUACCGCCGCAGGACCGCCCGUCCGCUAGCGCAGGCGCUGCACCGAUACCCGUCAUCGACCUAGGCCGCCUGUCUGGGCCCAACCCAGAUGCCCAAGAGGCGGCAAAACUCCAGUCGGCGCUGGAGACAUGGGGCUUUUUCAUGGUGUGUAUGGUCGACAUAAGGAGACAUCCAGGCGAUGGUGAUGAUGAUUAUAACGUUGAUGAAGACGGAGAACUCGACUCCAUUGGUAACCCCUUAGUGGACCAUGCACGCUUUACCAAGCAAAGGACAUAACAACGACAGCCCGAGCAACACCAACCACCACCUGCUGGCAACAACGGUGGUGAUAACGGCGACAACGCUCACGCUGAAGGCUCUUAGAACCAAGAAAGAAAGUGCUUCGGAUCAGGCAAACUGUUUGGGAUAAAGUGAGGGACGCCGCGAGCGGCAAGUGUCUCAUGGGAGAUGAUGCGUCUCGAGAUGAACUCAUGGCGUAUCAGUAUAUCCUCGAUCGACAAAAGCUCAAGUUAAUGAAGCUGAAUGAGAUCUCGAUGCUCGCAAGGAGAAGGCCGACGCAUUGAGCAUCAGGCAAAUGCAAUUGAGUUCUACGGGAGGUGCAAGCUUCAGGGCAGGGAAUCAGCAGAAAAGAUCAACAUCUCGGUUCAGUUUUGUUCCGAAAAAUCAACGACGUAACUUGGUCAAAGACCUUGACUUAUCCUUCAUGUCAGUAGACUCGAGAGGAAACAUACAUCCGAA